UUUCUUGCCGCAUUUGUCUUUUACAUAGAGAGUUAUGCAGGAUUUGCAGAUUGCUGUUGGCAGCUAUGCCAUAAAUUUCCUUUGAAUUAUGAAACUGAUAAGAAGUGCACAGCCAAUGACUACUUGAAAAUGUGUGUGUGAGUGGAGAGUGCUGUG